GACGAACGCUGGCGGCGUGCUUAACACAUGCAAGUCGAACGGAAAGGCCCUGCUUGCAGGGUACUCGAGUGGCGAACGGGUGAGUAACACGUGGGUGAUCUGCCCUGCACUUCGGGAUAAGCCUGGGAAACUGGGUCUAAUACCGGAUAGGAGCCAUUUUUAGUGUGAUGGUUGGAAAGUUUUUUCGGUGUAGGAUGAGCUCGCGGCCUAUCAGCUUGUUGGUGGGGUAAUGGCCUACCAAGGCGGCGACGGGUAGCCGGCCUGAGAGGGUGGACGGCCACAUUGGGACUGAGAUACGGCCCAGACUCCUACGGGAGGCUGCAGUGGGGAAUAUUGCACAAUGGGCGCAAGCCUGAUGCAGCGACGCCGCGUGGGGGAUGACGGCCUUCGGGUUGUAAACCCCUUUCGCUAGGGACGAAGCUUUUGUGACGGUACCUAGAGAAGAAGCACCGGCUAACUACGUG
rnacentral:rRNA from 1 species